rnacentral:rRNA from 1 species
AUGGGUGCUACUGCCUUCCUCUACCUCCUGCUGUCCCUCUGGGUUCAGGACGCAACUGCCGCUGAUCUUGGCUUCACAAGAAGCGAUUUCCCACGGGAAUUCGUCUUUGGAGCUGGAACCUCCGCAUAUCAAUAUGAGGGUGCUGUUGCUGAGGAUGGCAGGAGUCCGAGCGGUUGGGACACUUUCACUCACGCAGGCAAAAUGCCAGACAAAAGCACGGCAGAUGUUGCUGCAGAUGGGUACCACAAAUACAUGGACGAUGUCAAGCUCAUGUCUGAGACAGGCCUAGAGGCCUAUAGGUUCUCCAUCUCCUGGUCAAGGCUCAUUCCAAAUGGACGCGGAGCUGUCAAUCCUAAAGGGCUAGAGUAUUACAACAACCUCAUUGAUGAGCUAAUGAAUCAUGGAAUUCAAGUACACAUCACACUUCACCAUGUAGAUCUCCCUCAAAUUCUCGAAGACCAAUAUGGUGGAUGGUUAAGCCCCAAAAUUGUAUGUUUGCUUCAGGGAGUUUGGAAAUAG